rnacentral:rRNA from 1 species
UGGGGAAUAUUGGACAAUGGGCGCAAGCCUGAUCCAGCAAUGCCGCGUGGGUGAAGACGGCCUGCGGGUUGUAAAGCCCUUUGGGUGGGGAAGAACGGCGGGCGGCGAACAGCGGUCCGCUCUGACAUUACCCGCGAAACAAGCACCGGCUAACUCCGUGCCAGCAGCCGCGGUAAUACGGAGGGUGCGAGCGUUAAUCGGAAUUACUGGGCGUAAAGCGUGCGUAGGCGGUUCGGUCAGUCAGCCGUGAAAGCCCCGGGCUCAACCUGGGAACGGCGGUUGAGACGGCCGGACUGGAGUGGGCCAGAGGAUCGUGGAAUUCCGGGUGUAGCGGUGAAAUGCGUAGAGAUCCGGAGGAACACCGAUGGCGAAGGCAGCGGUCUGGAGCCACACUGACGCUGAGGCACGACAGCGUGGGGAGCAAACAGGAUUAGAUACCCGCGUAGUCC